rnacentral:piRNA from 1 species
UAGCUAUUAUCAGUCCUCUGGGAGA